UACGAAGGGGGCUAGCGUUGCUCGGAAUUACUGGGCGUAAAGGGCGCGUAGGCGGCACUGUUAGUCAGGACGUGAAAGUCCUGGGCUCAACCUGGGAACUGCGCUUGAUGACGGCAGAGCUAGAGGAUGGAAGAGGCUCGCGGAAUUCCCAGUGUAGAGGUGAAAUUCGUAGAUAUUGGGAAGAACACCGGUGGCGAAGGCGGCGAGCUGGUCCAUUACUGACGCUGAGGCGCGACAGCGUGGGGGAGCAAACAGG
rnacentral:rRNA from 1 species